UACGGGGGGAGCAAGCGUUGUUCGGAUUUACUGGGCGUAAAGAGCGCGUAGGCGGCCACCGCAAGUCGACUGUGAAAUCUCUGGGCUUAACCCAGAACGGUCAGCCGAUACUGCGGGGCUAGAGUGCAGAAGGGGCAACUGGAAUUCUCGGUGUAGCGGUGAAAUGCGUAGAUAUCGAGAGGAACACCUGCGGCGAAGGCGGGUUGCUGGGCUGACACUGACGCUGAGGCGCGAAAGCUAGGGGAGCGAACGGG
rnacentral:rRNA from 1 species